rnacentral:rRNA from 1 species
CCUACGGGUGGCAGCAGUAGGGAAUAUUGCUCAAUGGGGGAAACCCUGAAGCAGCGACGCCGCGUGGAGGAUGCAGUUUUUCGGAUUGUAAACUCCUUUUGUUAGCGAAGAUAUUGACAGUAUCUAACGAAUAAGCACCGGCUAACUCCGUGCCAGCAGCCGAGGUAAUACGGAGGGUGCCAGCGUUACUCGGAAUCACUGGGGGUACAGGGCGAGUAGGAGGGAUAGCAAGUCAGAUGUGAAAUCCUAUGGCCUAAACAUAGAACUGAAUUUGAAACUGUCAUUCUUGAGUAUGGGAGAGGUAGAUGGAAUUCUUGGGGUAGGGGUAAAAGUCG